rnacentral:rRNA from 1 species
UACGGAGGGUGCGAGCGUUAAUCGGAUUUACUGGGCGUAAAGGGCGCGUAGGCGGUCAGCACAAGUCAGUUGUGAAAUCUCCGGGCUUAACUCGGAAAGGUCAACUGAUACUGUGCGACUAGAGUGCAGAAGGGGCAACUGGAAUUCUCGGUGUAGCGGUGAAAUGCGUAGAUAUCGAGAGGAACACCUGCGGCGAAGGCGGGUUGCUGGGCUGACACUGACGCUGAUGCGCGAAAGCCAGGGGAGCGAACGGG